rnacentral:rRNA from 1 species
GACAGAGGGGGCAAGCGUUGCUCGGAAUUACUGGGCGUAAAGGGCGCGUAGGCGGCGGGGUAAGUCUGGUGUGAAAUCUCGGAGCUCAACUCCGAAAUUGCGCUGGAUACUGCUCUGCUAGAGGGCUGGAGAGGAGAUCGGAAUUCACGGUGUAGCAGUGAAAUGCGUAGAUAUCGUGAGGAAGACCAGUGGCGAAGGCGGAUCUCUGGACAGCUCCUGACGCUGAGGCGCGAAGGCUAGGGGAGCAAACGGG